rnacentral:lncRNA from 1 species
GAGCUAGCAAGUUUGAUGUCCUUCUUCUGUUCCCUAUUCUAGGUCUGGGCUUGAUGUUCACCGAUUUUCCCUCAGCUCCGACUGUGGCUCCUCUCAGCUGACUCUGACCCUGCUCUCAGCCGGGCUGCAUCUGCCCAUCUCAGCACAUCAAUAAACAGCAGAGGGAAACUACCACCUUGGAAGGAGCCAGGCAGUUUCUGCUGGGUAGGCCGCAGCCUGGAACAUGGAAGUAGCUUCUUCCAUCCUACACUGGAAACCACCCAGCAUCCCGGGCCCUCCAGAGAAGAGCCAGACUCCCUUCCCUGGGAAGAGACUAUAGUCCUAUCUGUAUCCUCCGUGGUCAUUGCCCCUCAGUCACAGCAAUGAAGAGCAAAUUACCUGUUUUCUGUAUGUUCCUCUGACAACAACUGCCACAGAGUAAAUAUGAAAGGUUCUGGAUGAUUCCUUGUCAGCUUUUAUUAAAAUUCCACAUACUUGGCA